rnacentral:rRNA from 1 species
GACGAACGCUGGCGGCGUGCUUAACACAUGCAAGUCGAACGGAAAGGCCCUGCUUUUGUGGGGUGCUCGAGUGGCGAACGGGUGAGUAACACGUGAGUAACCUGCCCUUGACUUUUGUAUAACUUCAGGAAACUGGGGCUAAUACCGUAUAGGAGCUCCUGCUGCAUGGUGUGUGUUGGAAAGUUUCGGCGGUUGGGGAUGGACUCGCGGCUUAUCAGCUUGUUGGUGGGGUAGUGGCUUACCAAGGCUUUGACGGGUAGCCGGCCUGAGAGGGUGACCGGCCACAUUGGGACUGAGAUACGGCCCAGACUCCUACGGGAGGCAGCAGUGGGGAAUAUUGAACAAUGGGCGGAAGCCUGAUGCAGCAACGCCGCGUGCGGGAUGACGGCCUUCGGGUUGUAAACCGCUUUCGCCUGUGACGAAGCGUGAGUGACGGUAAUGGGUAAAGAAGCACCGGCUAACUACGUG